CGAUUAACGAUUGCGACACGAAGAUGCUAAUUACACGGACGAGUGGAUUUAAAAUACAAGGGGCGUAUUUCAUAGCGCGCUUCCAUGUGCUGGUUAACUGAUUUAAGUCUGAUAUUGAAAUAUUGAAAUUCGAAAAUUGUAAAAGAUACAGUAGAAAAUACAGAUAGAGAUUUAAAUAUGAAACUACAUGCAAACACGCAAUUUUAGAUAAACACACCCUUCAAAAUGAAUGGACUUAUCGACCACCAGCAUCAGCGUGUUAUCAUUUGUAUAAUUAGGCUUCGUGUUAUAAAAAUGGACGAUGUGUAUAAAAUUCGCCGCAAUGUUGUGGUCAUGGCAAAAUGGAAUGUUAGGUCUUUGAAGAUAGAAACAAAAUUAACAACAACAGUAGAUCUACAGUACAGUUGAACUCAGUUCAGUAUACAGUAGACUGCAAUAAAGAUAGUUCUGGCAUGCAUGGAAGAGAUGUCCUUGAGUCACAAUAUUUUCGAUGAUGAAGGUUCAGUUAUAUAUGCAAAAAAGGAGCAAAGUUGAGCUUUUUUGUGUGUUAAGAACCACAUUUCUAGGAUAGGUGAAGUAAGUUUGGUGCCAGGGUCCAGUAUGAAAUUGAAGACGGAGUGACCAACAUUCCCUUCUGGAAGAAAUAGUUUAUUGAUUGACCAUUAUCUUUAAUAUUGGAAGAUGAUAUAUAGGGUGCUCAUACAUUCCUUUUUGAUCAACAACAAUUUAAGUGUGCAUGUUUGUGAAGCAUCCAUAACCUGAAGCA